rnacentral:lncRNA from 1 species
AUAAAUAAAAAAAAUAAAACAAAAUGAACUUAAUUUCUCUCACAAGCCUGCAUUCUGCCAAAUGGUGGGAAUAUUAUCUCAGCUGAUUCAUGGUCGUCUGAGUCAGUUCUGGGGUCAAGGAUCUUGGUGGUCCAGUCCUGGUGGUAGGGGUUCUUCUUUGUUAUCUAUAUGGACUGGUGUCCCCCAGAGCAUCUCCCUACCUGUCUGGACUUUGACAUUUGGUCCGCGUAGGUUUUUCUUUGUUAUAUCUUUCUGAUCCAAUGGACAACCUCUGUGUUGAGGAUCCCAAUGUGCUUAGCUCCUCCAGGAAAGAGUGUGACAACAUGUGAGAAACACUGUC